rnacentral:rRNA from 1 species
AUGUGGCGAAAAAGACUAAUUCAACGAAAUAUGCCAGCAUUAAGAUUUAAAACGUGUCGUCUACUUCCAGGAAAUGUUCGAAACAGAGAACUUUCUCUAAUCCAACGCCGUAUUCUCCAAAGAUUGAGGAACAAGAGGAGAUCCAUUAAAAGAAAUCUUUCUCGGAGAGAAAAUCUAAACAGUAACAUCAAAUCCCAAACUACACGAAAGUUGUCUCUUUAUUAUGGGUAUUUACCCAUAAGGGAGAUGCACAGAGGAAGAGAAUGAACUUCAUAUAUCCCUUUUUUACUCAAUCAAGAAACAAGGUCGUACGUGAUUCCGGUUCGUCUCCAUUUUAGUGACACUCUUCCUCAAGCAAGGCAGCCGAUAAGUCAUUGAAGGGUUUGUUUGAAUAAUGGACUGGUAACCAUUACUCAUUUGAAAGUUUCCCACGGUUAUCUAAUAUCUUUAAAGAAAAUGACGUGAGAACCCGCAGUUUUGAAAGAAGGAGACCUUUCUGUAUCAACAUAUCAGUUGGAAAUAUCAUAG